CGCGCCUGCUCCUCAGUCCCCGCGGGACCCCGGCGUCUGGGGUCCGAAAGCCGGUUGGGAAAUUCUGACAGCUGUCGGGAAUGAGGUUGUUGAAUUCAUUGGGGAGCAAGUGCUGUCCAGAACUUGUGAGGAAAAUGAGACCCAGAGAAGUGGAGUGGCUGCCUUCAGUCUCACCCUUGGGUCAGAGAGAACUGCAGCUAAGAAGAAGCCCUGUUUGCAGCUCCACACUGAAGAAGAGUAUGCACGCUGCCCAGUCCCUGCGUCAUUAUUCUAUUUGUGCGUGCAGAGCAUAGCAUCUGUCUCUUUCCGGCACAGCCCCCGGGCAGAGGAUCUGUACCUGAAGAGCUAACCUGAGGAGCUUCACCCAGUCCAUCACACGCUGAGCAGGGCCCUACCUCUUGAGCCUGGAUCUGAUGUCAUGUUAGAUGAUAUUCUUGGAAGGUUGAAUGUGGUUAGCAUUAGGAAGAAUGUAAAUUUGAAAUAUAAAUAACUGUGUCCAGA